GACGAACGCUGGCGGCGUGCUUAACACAUGCAAGUCGAACGGUGAAGCGCCUUCCUUUUUGGUGGGUGUGGAUGAGUGGCGAACGGGUGAGUAACACGUGAGUAACCUGCCCCCUUCUUCUGGAUAACCGCAUGAAAGUGUGGCUAAUACGGGAUAUUCUGGGUCUGUCGCAUGAUGGGUCUGGGAAAGAUAUUGUUUCGGUGGGGGAUGGGCUCGCGGCCUAUCAGCUUGUUGGUGGGGUGAUGGCCUACCAAGGCGGUGACGGGUAGCCGGCCUGAGAGGGUGGACGGUGACACUGGGGCUGAGACGCGGUGCAGACUCCUGCGGGAGGCAGCAGUGGGGAAUAUUGAACAGUGGGCGGAAGCAUGAUGCAGCGACGCCGCGGGGGGGAUGGAGGCCUUCGGGUUGUGAACCUCUGUCGCUAGUGCAGGCCUGCCUCGUUUGUGGGUGGGUUGACGGUAGCUGGAUAAGAAGCGCCGGCUAACUACGUG
rnacentral:rRNA from 1 species